AGUUCGGAUUGCAGGCUGCAACCCGCCUGCAUGAAGCCGGAAUCGCUAGUAAUCGCGGAUCAGAAUGCCGCGGUGAAUACGUUCCCGGGUCUUGUACACACCGCCCGUCACACCAUGGGAGUCGGGAAUGCCCGAAGUCAGUGGCCCAACCGGAAGGGGGGAGCUGCCGAAGGCAGGCCCGGUGACUGGGGUGAAGUCGUAACAAGGUACC
rnacentral:rRNA from 1 species